rnacentral:rRNA from 1 species
UACGGGGGGGGCAAGCGUUGUUCGGAAUUACUGGGCGUAAAGGGCGCGUAGGCGGUUCGCUAAGUUGGAUGUGAAAACUCUGGGCUCAACCCAGAGCCUGCAUCCAAACUGGCGGGCUAGAGUUCUGGAGAGGAGAAUGGAAUUCCUGGUGUAGCGGUGAAAUGCGCAGAUAUCAGGAAGAACACCCGUGGCGAAGGCGGUUCUCUGGAACGCAACUGACGCUGAGACGCGAAAGCGUGGGGAGCAAACAGGAUUGA